UUAUAUUGUGACGUACUUUUGCCUUUUCUUAUUAUUCUGCCUUCUCAAUAACUAUCAAAGCCUAUUCACAUUUAAUUUGGCUUUCACAGAAAUCCUACCUCUCCUUCUGGCUACAGAGUACUUACCAAGCCCAUGAAAUCGAAUGCAGAUCUUCCUAAUGUGAGAUUUACAUAAAUAUGUCAAAGUCUCAACCUCAUGCUGCCCUCCCCCAUCCUCCUAAACCUGUGGAUACAAAUGCAGAUUUCCUUAAUGUAAGUUGUGCAUUUUAAUUACAUCAUGUUAUUUUUAUUAUUAUUUAUUUAUUUAUUUUAUUUUACAUUCAAAUAUUUCAAGCUUCUUGGUUAAAGAAGCUUGAUUGCUAGUAGGUAAAGAAUAGUUCACCUAUAAUUCAUAUUCCCAAUUAAUUUCUCACCUCUGAUUGAAUGCCUUUGUUUGUUUUCCUUUUGACUAUAACAAAACAUUUUUGCUGGAUAUAUAUGGUGAAUUUAUAUGCAUAGAUACAGUCGUAGUGCUUGACACAUGCAAACAGCAGUAGAUGUACUAAAAAGGAAAUAAUUACAAUCAUGAUGUUGAUUGCUGAUGUCAGUAUAUAUAUUUUAGAGGAAUGUUUUGUUUUUCACCCAAAAUGAACUAUAUUGCUUCAGAAGAGAUUUAUUACCCUACCGGACUCUUAUAUAUUGUUCUGUUUUUUGUUUGUUUUUGUUAUUUUCAGGUUCAAUGGUGCGUGUUCUUCUAAUGGCCGCCUUCCCACUGGAGGUUUUGAUCCACAGCAAUUUAAAAGGUAAUCAGCUUUGAAAGUCAGUUCAAAUGGUUAGCUAAUAGUACUUUAAAAAGCCUACAACUCUGUCACCAGUUUCUUUACCAAAAAUUACCCAUAAAAGUAUCGCUCAAUAGCAUAUAUUGUAGUUCAAAUGUUUAGUUGUACAAAUAUCAAAUUUUUGGAAAUCUAAAACUAGUCAAACACUCAAAUGUUCAUGCUUUUUAUAGGAGGACAGAGCAAAACGGACAUCGGCGCAGAGUGAAGAACUGCCCUUGAUAAGGACACUAUGACAGCCAUAUAUAUGGCGGUAAGGAAGGGGUUUCCCAGCGUGUCCAGAAGGGCUUUGAGGAUUGCUGUGAAAGCUGGGGGAACUGAGACUGCUGGAAAAGGAAAAGAAAUUACAUUU